UGCAAGUCAAACGAACCUCCCGGUGCUUGCCCGGACUGGUGAGUGGCGAACGGGUAAAGAAGACAUGAGAAACCUGCCCUGGAGACAGGAAUAACUCCGGGAAACCGGAGCUAAAACCUGAUAUCCCUGCGAGGUCGCAUGAUCUCGCAAGAAAACACCCCGGUGCUUCAGGAGGGUCUCAUGGCCUAUCAGUUAGUUGGUGAGGUAACGGCUCACCAAGGCAAAGACGGGUAGCUGGUCUGAGAGGAUGAUCAGCCACACUGGGACUGAGACACGGCCCAGACUCCUACGGGAGGCAGCAGUAGGGAAUCUUGCGCAGUGGGCGAAAGCCUGACGCAGCCACGCCACGUGUGGGACGACGGCCUUCGGGUUGUAAACCACUUUCAGCAGGGACGAAAAUGACGGUACCUGCAGAAGAAGCCCCGGCCAACUACGUGCCAGCAGCCGCGGUAACACGUACGGGGCGAGCGUUGUCCGGAAUUACUGGGCGUAAAGGGCUCGUAGGCGGUUUGG
rnacentral:rRNA from 1 species